rnacentral:tRNA from 1 species
GGUUGUAUCUCAGUGGCAGAGCACACACCUGGCAAGUGUGAGGCACUGGGUUAGAUCCUCAGCACCA